GACCACCAUUUGCCUCACGCAGUGCAACACAUCUCCUUCGCAUAGAGUUGAUCAGGUUGUUGAUUGUGGCCUGUGGAAUGUUGGUCACCUCCUCUUCAAUGGCUGUGCGAAGUUGCUGGAUAUUGGCAGGAACUGAAACAUGCUGUCGUAUACGUCGAUCCAGAGCAUCCCAAACACAUGUCUGAACUGUGCUGAGAUGUCUCUGACAUAUUUUGCUCAGGAGGAACAUCUGCAAACCAGUGAGACUUUAACUAAAGUUUCAGCUCCCUAUCUCUCUCCAUCUCUCUCUCUCUUUCUCUUUGUCUAUUAAAAUGUAUUAAAUACAGUAUUUGUCAAAUGAUCCUUCACCGAAAAUUUGAUUGACAGGCAAUCUGACCAAUCAUAACACUGAAUCUUCCAGUUUGUCUGACAAACAGAACUACAGCCAUCUGUCAUGACACUUUAAAGACCCAGAAAAUGCUAUUUAUUGUUUGAAUUUCUUUAAAAAAUGAAAGCUGAGACUUCAUACCAAAAGUCACCUGCUGUGUCUUGUCUGUAGGUGCAUUGUCAGUUUAUUUUCCAUUCCGUCAGAACAUGAUGUGUGGCGAGAGAGCACCAUGGCUUGUCAGGCAUUGCAAUUGUAACUAAGGGAGGCAGGUCUUUGAGAAGGGUCAGUUGAAUAUUUAAUUGUGCAUGCUAAUUUCACCCUUUUUUACAUUUAGAUUACCACUGCCAUUAUUUUAAAGCCAGUGGCGGGCUAUUCAUUUCACACGUAGGCCUUCAGUGGUGUCCUAAAUGAAUUAAUCCACCUCUUAAGACCAUCACAAUGACGCCACGGCUAUAGAAACCAUAAAUAUUAUACAGAAAUGUAGAAUAACAGAGCACUGCAUCAGAGAUAGGUGUCUUAUGUAGUGAAUGCCAUUACUAAAGCAAGAAACACAAUUAACACAAUUCAACAAUUUGUGCAACAUGCAUCAUCUCUGUCUGAAGCAUUAACCUAACAAAAUGACAGAAAUAUAGUCCACCCGAUGUUCUUACAAACAUUUAUUAACGGAAACAUAUUUAUACCUUACAACUUAACAUUGCCAUAAAACAAAUAAGGUGUUUUAAAGUUGACCGAAAAAUUUAACCUACUCAUAACGGCUUUUCUUCUUCACGAGUCUCCCCACUGUUCUGCUAGCGUGCUGUGGGAGGAAAAUACUAGUUAGCACAGAUUUACUGGGAAAGUGAGCAUGUGCAUUAAAAUAAUUCAUACAAGAGGAUGAAGAAAAGUGUAUACAUGUGUUUUAAAGUAUACCUGCCAAUUUAAUGUACCCCAGGACUCCUCUUCCUGACAAUUAUUCCCUCCGGUCUGCCAGUGCCGCUACGGUCGGGAGGAAAAGGCCGUUUUUUCUUCUUCUUCUUCUUCUUCUUCUUGGUGAGACUUAUAGCACAAUUGUACAGUUUAUUGCACUAUAAUUCUCUACUUGUUUUUGUUGAAAAUCAGUCUUAGAAGAACUCGACUCUCUAUUGUGCAAGUAUGUAUCAUGGUUAAAUUUGUGAUUCAUGUGUUUGUUGAAUGUGCACGUGAUGUAUGUAAAUUAUCCCGAGGGGAAGCUAUCCUAAUUUCAUUGUACGUGUGUAUUAUGACAAUAAAAGGCAUUCAUUGAUACAGAUUGACUCAGAAAUUAAGCGCUCGUUAGAUAUUCUUACAGAAACUUAAACGUGGCUUUAUUUUUUGCAAAUAACAUCAGAAUACAAUGCAUAAAGUGAUAAAAAAGUCAAAAAUGUAAAUUAAAUUAAAAUGUGGAUUUUUAUUUUUAUACUGUUUUUAUAUUUACUGUAGGCGAACAU
ensembl:lncRNA